rnacentral:rRNA from 1 species
GACGCUGAGGCGACGAAAGCGGUGGGGAGACAAACAGGAUUAGACUACCCUGGUAGUCCACGACCGUAAACGAUGAGUGACUAAGUGGUUUAGGGGGUUUCCCGUCCCCUUUAGGUGCUGCAGACUAACCGCUAAUUAAGCACUCCCGCCGGUGGGGAGGUACCGGCCGACGAAGGCUAGAACUACGAAAGUAUUGGACGGGGCCCGCACAAGCGGUGGAGCAUGUGGUUUAAUUCGAAGCAACGCGAAGAACCUUACCAGGUCUUGACAUCCC